AGAUUGAACGCUGGCGGCAUGCCUUACACAUGCAAGUCGAACGGCAGCACGGGAGCAAUCCUGGUGGCGAGUGGCGAACGGGUGAGUAAUACAUCGGAACGUGCCCAGUUGUGGGGGAUAGCCCGGCGAAAGCCGGAUUAAUACCGCAUACGCCCCAAGGGGGAAAGCAGGGGAUCUUCGGACCUUGCGCUAUUGGAUAAGCCUGCGUCGGAUUAGCUAGUUGGUGGGGUAAGGGCCUACCAAGGCAACGAUCCGUAGCUGGUCUGAGAGGAUGAUCAGCCACACUGGGACUGAGACACGGCCCAGACUCCUACGGGAGGCAGCAGUGGGGAAUAUUGGACAAUGGGGGCAACCCGUGAUCCAGCCAUGCCGCGUGUGUGAAGGAAGGCCUUAGGGUUAGUAAAGCACUUUCGAGGUGGGAAGAAAAGCGUGGCGGACUAAGUAUCCGGUCGG
rnacentral:rRNA from 1 species